UACAGAGGUCUCAAGCGUUGUUCGGAUUUACUGGGCGUAAAGGGCGCGUAGGCGGCCUGUGCAAGUCAGUUGUGAAAUCUCCGAGCUUAACUCGGAACGGUCAACUGAUACUGCUCGGCUAGAGUGCGGAAGGGGCAACUGGAAUUCUUGGUGUAGCGGUGAAAUGCGUAGAUAUCAAGAGGAACACCUGCGGCGAAGGCGGCUCUCUGGGACGGUACUGACGCUGAGACGCGAAAGCGUGGGGAGCGAACAGG
rnacentral:rRNA from 1 species